rnacentral:hammerhead_ribozyme from 1 species
AUCCAGCUGAGAAUUCCCAAAUAAAACGAAACGCACGUCCUGGAU